UCUCUGGUUGAUCCUGCCAGUAGUCAUAUGCUUGUCUCAAAGCUUAAGCCAUGCAAGUGUCAGUACAUACUAAAUUAAAGUGAAACCGCAAAGGGCUCAGUAAACCAGUUUUAAUUUACUAGAGUUUUCACGUUUCGUACGUGGAUAACUGUG
rnacentral:ncRNA from 1 species